AGAUUACUGAGAAGGGCCACUGUACUGCAAAAUUCCAGGGCGCCAUUACAGAAGAUGCAUGUUAAAGGAUGUUCCUUCUCUUUGUUGUCUACAAUUUUACCCCUAAAGUUGUGCAUUUUACAACCUGUAUGGCCAUAUGAGACAAUCCUAUUUGGUGGUGCUAUAUUCAUCAUUGCACUGGAUACCAGUUUCAGGAACAGCCUUGACAACUUCCCACAAAAGUGGGCAUGAGGUCUAGCAUGUUCUUAUCCAAGCAACCCGAGUUCUCAAAACACGCUUCAAGUGGACCCAGUCAGAACAUAUUGUGGAGACUGACAAGUUACAUGAUAUUCAUUGCUAAAUUAGAAACAAUAUCGAAUUGCUGACUUCUGUUUAUCAAAUGUGCAGCUCCACCUGAUAGAAGAGAAAAGUUUUCCACUUUUAAGGAUUUGUGUGGUUAUAUUGGGCUCACCUGGAUAAUCCAAGAUCUUAUUUGCCUGUCAGUCUGAUUAUAUCCUUUAUAAGACAUUGAAUCAAAAGAACAAUUCUAAAGUAAUAGCUUAUACAAGGGAAAAGUAUCCAGAAGAAGAGAUGGAAGAUUCUGCCACUUUAAAAAUGAAACAAAAAGCAAUAAAAUUAAAAUCUAGAAACAGAUCACUAAUAUUCAAUAUUUAUUUCUAAUUAAUAACCAUUGUUCUGUUCUUGUUAAGUUCUAUUCUUCUCAACCCAGUUAGUGCCCAUAUAGUAAUAUGUGUAUAAACAUUAUACUGUGGAGUCAUUUCAAUUUUUUUUGGUACAAGUAUUAGGAGAAUUUAAGUUUUAAAAAAUGGAGUUUUAUUUCAAUUAAUAGAAUCAUUGCAUUAAUAAAGGAGGC
rnacentral:lncRNA from 1 species